UCAGGAUGAACGCUAGCGGGAGGCCUAACACAUGCAAGCCGAGCGGUAUAUUGGAUUUAUUCAAUAGAGAGCGGCGUACGGGUGCGUAACACGUGUGCAACCUACCUUUAUCAGGGGAAUAGCCUUUCGAAAGGAAGAUUAAUACCCCAUAAUAUAUGAACAGGCAUCUGUUUAUAUUGAAAACUCCGGUGGAUAGAGAUGGGCACGCGCAAGAUUAGAUAGUUGGUGAGGUAACGGCUCACCAAGUCAUUGAUCUUUAGGGGUCCUGAGAGGGAGAUCCCCCACACUGGUACUGAGACACGGACCAGACUCCUACGGGAGGCAGCAGUGAGGAAUAUUGGACAAUGGGUGAGAGCCUGAUCCAGCCAUCCCGCGUGAAGGAUGACGGUCCUACGGAUUGUAAACUUCUUUUGUAUAGGGAUAAACCUAGUCUCGUGAGACUAGCUGAAGGUACUAUACGAAUAAGCACCGGCUAACUCCGUGCCAGCAGCCGCGGUAAU
rnacentral:rRNA from 1 species